GUUAUAGUGUAUGUACUUAAUGAUGCUUCGAAAUGUACAUGUGUGUAAAGGGUUAGGUUAGUGAAGGAAGGAAAGUACGAUCCAUUUCAAGCGGUACUUUAACCGAAAAUAUCUAUAUUCUUAACUACUAUCGUUUUCCCACAAGCGAUCGGUAUAUUCAUAUUCCGAGGAACUUGGAGGCACGAUUCGGAGCACGAGACAGAUACAACAAUGGAUGAAAGGCAGAAAUACGCGCGAUAUGUCAUAAACGUAAAGUGCUCACUACUCUGAACUAUACUAACCGCUUUACUUCGAGAAUCGCAAGCAGAAUGCAUAUCGAUAAGUACAUAUAUCGUUCCUGCUUUGGCGCCAAUUGAACGUUUCCGUUACAUAUUUGAAAUGCAACA
rnacentral:misc_RNA from 1 species